rnacentral:ncRNA from 1 species
UAAGAUUGAUCCUGUCUUGAUUUGUAUAUUAAUUGGCUAUUAAUUAGGUAAUAUUAAAUAUGAAUUUUUGUGUGUUAUUAUAAUUUGUCUAAAGGACAUUAUUUUUUUAUUUGUAGUUUUUAAUUUUGGGUUAUUACAUAAGUGUAUGAUCCAGUUAACUGAAUUUAGGAUCGUUUAAGGUUGUGCCAGCAUACGCGGUUAUACAUCCGAUUCAAGUCAAUUUUUUUGGUUUAUAUUAAUUUUAAUUUGUUGGGAAUUAAUUUUAAUUUAUUAGGUGAAAUUUGUAAUUUAAAUUUAUAUUUUCUUGGUUUGAGAUUAUAUGAAGUUUAGGAUUAAAACUAGGAUUAGAUACCCUAUUAUUCUAAAUGUAAAUUUUAACCAUGGUAUUAAUAGUUAUGAUCUUUAAAUUAGAAGGAUUUGGCGGUAAUUUAGUCUUUUCAGAGGAACCUGUUCUGUAAUCGAUGAUCCACGUUGGAUUUAACUCUAUGUUUGUUGUUUGUAUAUCUCUGUCAUUGAGUGUUUUAUUAGAAUAUUCUCUUAAAUUAUUUUAUUUAAUUAAUGUCAGGUCAAGGUGCAGCUAUACUGGAGGUUGAAAUGGGUUACAUUUAAUGUUAAUUUAUUGGAAUAUUAUUGUUGGAUAUUAAUUUAAUAUGAAAUAGGAUUUGAAAGUAAUUUUUAUUAUUUUAUAAAAAUGAUUUUAGCUCUAAAUUAUGCACACAUCGCCCGUCACUCUUGUUAACAAGGCAAGAUAAGUCGUAACAAAGUAAUUCUACCGGAAGGUGGAGUUUGAAGUAUA